ACGUAGGUGGCAAGCGUUGUCCGGAAUUAUUGGGCGUAAAGGGCGCGCAGGCGGCGUCGUAAGUCGGUCUUAAAAGUGCGAGGCUUAACCCCGUGAGGGGACCGAAACUGCGAUGCUAGAGUAUCGGAGAGGAAAGCGGAAUUCCUAGUGUAGCGGUGAAAUGCGUAGAUAUUAGGAGGAACACCAGUGGCGAAAGCGGCUUUCUGGACGACAACUGACGCUGAGGCGCGAAAGCCAGGGGAGCAAACGG
rnacentral:rRNA from 1 species